ACGGUGGAGCCGCGCAGGCCCGCGCGGAGCGGACGGAAGGCGAGGACAGCUGAGGGGCGCCCGGGCCUCGCGUCUUCACAGCUCAAGCGAAAUUGAUUUGCCUUUCCUGACAUUUGCUGGCAGCGCCAUCAUAAAGUCUGUAGCCUUUGCACGUCCCAGUGCAUUUUAAGCUGAUACCUGUUAGCCUGACUCCUACAGCAGAACUCACAACAUGGCGGGUGCAACACGACUUGGCCGAGGCCCUGCUAUGUCCAGGAUGGAGGGCGUCUGACAUGAGCGAGCCUGUCUGUGUGGAAGUAGGGCAGGAAGACACGGCUGAUUGGAGCUGGCGCCCGAGCAGGGCCUCGCCCAGGUCUCUGCGGUGUGCGUGAAGCACAGGCAGAUCCAGGAUGGCCCGGCUUCCCGGACGGAGCGCCUGGUUCUGCUGCUCAGCCACAGCCAGCCACGCCCGGACCUGCAGAGGUGCUGUUCCUUUCCUCAUUCUCUUACGACGCAAGUGUUUGUUCAUUGCCUCUUUGUAUGUGCGGAGCAUGUGGUCGCGGCCUUUUUAAUCUUUUGACCUGCACUUUUUUGCUCAGUGUAGCAUGUCCCAGCAGCAGGUGUGUUCACCGGCUAAGGUCCAUGCCGUUCGCGUUCACUGCUGGACGGUACUCUCGGUUGCGAAUAUACGGAAUGCGUUGAAAGAUGAAGGAAGAAGUUGUGAGCACUCCAUGGCACGUGUCACACUUUGGACCCUGUAACCAGGCCCACGUGUGAUUCCCAAGAACAUCUCGUGAGAAUGUCUGUGGAGCAGUCAGCUCGGUUCCCAGCACCGCUGGCCACGCUGGCCUUGGUAACGUCAGCCCUGAGCUUUCUCCCAAAACAGUUCCUCCAAGGGUGCCUUGUUCUGGCUUUAAAUUGCAAAGAUCUUACCACAAGCGAGUUUCUUGCUUGCUUGUUUGUUCACCCUCCGCGAUGCCGCCUUGGGUGGGUCGUGACGCUGUCUCUUCCUGACGGGCUUUGUGUGAUGAAUAUACGGAUAAAAUUAUUUGUGGGCGCUGGCUGUCAGCCGGCAGCAUCCGCUCUGUCUUGAUGCUGCUGCUUCAGUUUGUUCUGUGCUUGACGUCCUCGCGUUGGGCGUGUGUGUGGUGGGCAGUUCUGUGCGUGGGCCGGGCGGGCUGCAGGCGGCCUCUGUCCACGUGUGGCUCUGGUGCACCUGUGCUGGUCCAGGGGGUGCUUCUGGGGCAGUGGCCUGGGGGGUAGGUGCCCUCACG